AUGGGGCGCGCGAAGACGAUCGAUGAGGCGGAUCUUCAAGAGGUUCUCUCUCAGCGAGAUGACUUUGGUGUUCUGCAGAAGGACAGUUCUCUGAUGCGCGCGGAGGUAUCCAAGUUGCAAGACGAUGUUCAGACUAUUAGCUCGAAACAAGGUGAGAUAUCUCUCCAGGUUGGGGGAAUUGAGAAGGCGGUACUGGAUCUGGGCAAACAGCUCUCUACUAUAAGUGUAGUUUUGAAAUCAAUCAUCCAACCAAAUGCCCAAGCACCACCUGGUACAGAUCAGCCCGGUACUAGUCAUGUGGUAUGA
rnacentral:rRNA from 1 species